rnacentral:rRNA from 1 species
AUUGAACGCUGGCGGCAGGCCUAACACAUGCAAGUCGAACGGUAGCACAGAGAGCUUGCUCUCGGGUGACGAGUGGCGGACGGGUGAGUAAUGUCUGGGAAACUGCCCGAUGGAGGGGGAUAACUACUGGAAACGGUAGCUAAUACCGCAUAACGUCGCAAGACCAAAGUGGGGGACCUUCGGGCCUCACACCAUCGGAUGUGCCCAGAUGGGAUUAGCUAGUAGGUGGGGUAAUGGCUCACCUAGGCGACGCUCCCUAGCUGGUCUGAGAGGAUGACCAGCCACACUUGAACUGAGACACGGUCCAGAAUCCUACGGGAGGCAGCAGUGGGGAAUAUUGCACAAUGGGCGCAAGCCUGAUGCAGCCAUGCCGCGUGUAUGAAGAAGGCCUUCGGGUUGUAAAGUACUUUCAGCGGGGAGGAAGGCGGUGGAGUUAAUAACUUCACCGAUUGACGUUACCCGCAGAAGAGGCACCGGCUAACUCCGUGCCAGCCGCCGCCGUAA